GGGUGUGGUCAUACCAGUAGUAAAGCAUAGGAUCCCAUCAAAACUCCGUAGUUAAGCGUGCUUGCGGGAUUGUACUAUUAUGAUAGGUGACCCUCUGGGAAGUCCUCGUGUUACCCCUU
rfam:Gossypium hirsutum cultivar TM-1 chromosome 14, whole genome shotgun sequence